UGAUUGGCACAAUGAGGACAGGAGAACAUCUACAAUUUUACUAUCGUGCCAGGAAUGAAAGCAGUGAAGUGAAGACAGAAUGACAGCAAACGCAGGGUUAUACGGUCUCAACUUCAGGGCACAGCAGUUGCAACACAGAAUUCUUUUCCUGCCAUCACUCCAUCUCACAUGAAUGGUACUAAGUCCAUAGGCUUCAGAGAGCCCUGGAUCUAAAUGUCAUGCAACAGAGGAGGCCACUCCUGGGAUCAUCUCAGAGGGUAAGGAACUUAGGUUGGGACUGAGCUUUGAAGGCACGAAAUGCCUCUGCAAUUACUGCCUUCAAAGUGCCUUAGGCAGCACUAGAGCGGCAAAAUGGCAAGUUCAAAACUUCAUGCCGGCAGGGCGCCGUGGCUCACGCCUGUAAUCCCAGCACUUUGGGAGGCCGAGGCGGGCGGACCACCUGAGGUCAGGAGUUCGGGACCAGCCUGACCAACAUGGAGAAACCCCGUCCCUACUAAAAAUACAAAAUUAGCCAGGCAUGGUGGCACAUGCCUGUAAUCCCAGCUACUCGAGAGGCUGAAGCAGGAGAAUUGCUUCAACCCAGGAGGCAGAGGUUGCGGUGAGCCGAGAUCAUGCCAUUGCACUCCAGCCUGGGCAACAAGAGCGAAACUUCAUUUCAAAAAAACGAAACAAAACAAAACAAAACCUCAUGCCAUACUUAAAAACCUCACCAUGUAAGGUCCCAUACCAUUCCUAUUAUUUGCGCACAUUUGUUGCUUUCAUUGUUAAUCUGCAGUAUUAUUCAUAGAUCUGAAACGAACACUGGAUAUUAACAGAGUAUAACUUCUUAUUUCAUAGAUGAGGAAAACGGAAGCCAAAUAGGAUAAAUGACUGUCUAAGGUCACGUACAAUUAUUUGAGGAAAUUAGACUAAAGCCUAGGUCUCUUGCCCCCUGGGUGUUACUCUUUGUACUACAGUAUACCAACCCAAUAAUGUCUUCUAUUUACAGUUGGCUAGAGUCAACUACUGACAACCAAGGCCAGUUGCAUAAAGGCAGCCUCCAGUUAGCCUCCAGUAUACCAUAUAUUCACCAAAGGUAGCCCUAAUCCUCAUCAUGUAUUCUCAAUCUAAGUGACUUUGUUCUUAGUUUACACUUGACUUGUUUGCUGACAAUGGAGCCCUCAUAACUGCCUUAUCGGCCCACUCCCAUGUUCUCACAACUGCCUGGUGGACUUCUUCAACAUGGACUAACUCAUGUCAUUGCAGUUUUUUGCCUUUAAUUCCACAAAUUAAACACAAUUAUUACGUUAUAUCAUGUUUGUUUGGCUUUACUGUGCCAUUCUAUCUGUUUACUAUUCCAUCCUACAUCUCAGGUAUUCCUUCUGGGAUAAUUUUCCUUUGUCUUAAUUACAUCCUGCAGUUCUUUCAGAAGAAUUUUAGAGAUCUUUGGUAAAACUCCCUCAGCUGUUGUUUAAAAUGUGUUCAUCUUAUCAUAAUUCUUGAACAGUACUUGAAACAGUCUUGCUAAAUUGCUAUUUUAUAGACAUUUAUGUGUUUCUUCUGAGUUCCAUGGUGUUACUGCCAGUCUAUUUCUUUAUAGAUGAGCUGCGCUUUUUCUCUGGCUGCUUUCUAGACUUUCUCUUUGUCUUUGAUGUUCUAUAGCUUCGGUCUAGGCAUAGAUUUCUUAUUCACACCUGGAAUGCAGUAUGCUUCCUGAAUCUGUCGGUUCCUUAUUAUCAUAAAUUCUGAGAAAUAACUGUACCUUUUGAAAAAUGCUACACAGGUAUCAACCAAAA
rnacentral:lncRNA from 10 species